rnacentral:rRNA from 1 species
GACGAACGCUGGCGGCGUGCUUAACACAUGCAAGUCGAACGGAAAGGCCCUGCUUUUGUGGGGUGCUCGAGUGGCGAACGGGUGAGUAACACGUGAGUAACCUGCCCUUGACUUUGGGAUAACUUCAGGAAACUGGGGCUAAUACCGGAUCGGAGCUCCUGCUGCAUGGUGGGGGUUGGAAAGUUUCGGCGGUUGGGGAUGGACUCGCGGCUUACCAUCUUGUUGGUGGGGUAGUGGCUUACCAAGGCUUUGACGGGUAGCCGGCCUGAGAGGGUAAACGGCCACAUUGGGACUGAGAUAAGGCCCAGACUCCUACGGGAGGCAGCAGUGGGGAAUAUUGCACGAUGGGCGGAAGCCUGAUGCAGCAACGCCGGGUGCGGGAUGACGGCCUUCGGGUUGUAAACCGCUUUCGCCUGUGACGAAGCGUGAGUGACGGUAAUGGGUAAAGAAGCACCGGCUAACUACGUG